rnacentral:rRNA from 1 species
GAUGAACGCUGGCGGCGUGCCUAAUACAUGCAAGUCGAGCGAACGGACGAGAAGCUUGCUUCUCUGAUGUUAGCGGCGGACGGGUGAGUAACACGUGGAUAACCUACCUAUAAGACUGGGAUAACUUCGGGAAACCGGAGCUAAUACCGGAUAAUAUUUUGAACCGCAUGGUUCAAAAGUGAAAGACGGUCUUGCUGUCACUUAUAGAUGGAUCCGCGCUGCAUUAGCUAGUUGGUAAGGUAACGGCUUACCAAGGCAACGAUGCAUAGCCGACCUGAGAGGGUGAUCGGCCACACUGGAACUGAGACACGGUCCAGACUCCUACGGGGGGCAGCAGUAGGGAGUCUUCCGCAAUGGGCGAAAGCCUGACGGAGCAACGCCGCGUGAGUGAUGAAGGUCCUCGGAUCGUAAAACUCUGUUAUUAGGGAAGAACAUAUGUGUAAGUAACUGUGCACAUCUUGACGGUACCUAAUCAGAAAGCCACGGCUAACUACGUG